UGGUGAGGUAACGGCUCACCAAGGCGACGACGGGUAGCCGGCCUGAGAGGGCGACCGGCCACACUGGGACUGAGACACGGCCCAGACUCCUACGGGAGGCAGCAGUGGGGAAUAUUGCACAAUGGGCGAAAGCCUGAUGCAGCGACGCCGCGUGAGGGAUGACGGCCUUCGGGUUGUAAACCUCUUUCAGCAGGGAAGAAGCGAAAGUGACGGUACCUGCAGAAGAAGCGCCGGCUAACUACGUGCCAGCAGCCGCGGUAAUACGUAGGGCGCAAGCGUUGUCCGGAAUUAUUGGGCGUAAAGAGCUCGUAGGCGGCUUGUCACGUCGGUUGUGAAAGCCCGGGGCUUAACCCCGGGUCUGCAGUCGAUACGGGCAGGCUAGAGUUCGGUAGGGGAGAUCGGAAUUCCUGGUGUAGCGGUGAAAUGCGCAGAUAUCAGGAGGAACACCGGUGGCGAAGGCGGAUCUCUGGGCCGAUACUGACGCUGAGGAGCGAAAGCGUGGGGAGCGAACAGGAUUAGAUACCCUGGUAGUCCACGCCGUAAACGGUGGGCACUAGGUGUGGGCAACAUCCACGUG
rnacentral:rRNA from 1 species